CUACGGGGGGCUGCAGUGGGGAAUUUUGGACAAUGGGCGAAAGCCUGAUCCAGCAAUGCCGCGUGCAGGAAGAAGGCCUUCGGGUUGUAAACUGCUUUUGUACGGAGCGAAAAGGUCCUCUCUAACACAGGGGGCUCAUGACGGUACCGUAAGAAUAAGCACCGGCUAACUACGGGCCAGCAGCCGCGGUAAUACGUAGGGUGCAAGCGUUAAUCGGAAUUACUGGGCGUAAAGCGUGCGCAGGCGGUUUUGUAAGACAGGCGUGAAAUCCCCGGGCUCAACCUGGGAAUGGCGCUUGUGACUGCAAAGCUGGAGUGCGGCAGAGGGGGAUGGAAUUCCGCGUGUAGCAGUGAAAUGCGUAGAUAUGCGGAGGAACACCGAUGGCGAAGGCAAUCCCCUGGGCCUGCACUGACGCUCAUGCACGAAAGCGUGGGGAGCAAACAGGAUUAGAUACCCUUGUAGUC
rnacentral:rRNA from 1 species